rnacentral:rRNA from 1 species
GAUGAACGCUGGCGGCGUGCUUAACACAUGCAAGUCGAACGAGAAGUGAAGACGGAACCCUUCGGGCGGAAGGCUUUAUUUCGAGUGGCGGACGGGUGAGUAACGCGUGGGUAACCUGCCUCAUACAGGGGGAUACAGUUGGAAACGACUGUUAAUACCGCAUAAGACCACAGCACCGCAUGGUUCGGGGGUAAAAACUCCGGUGGUAUGAGAUGGACCCGCGUUCGAUUAGCCAGUUGGCGGGGUAACGGCCCACCAAAGCGACGAUCGAUAGCCGAUCUGAGAGGAUGACCGGCCACAUUGGGACUGAGACACGGCCCAAACUCCUACGGGAGGCAGCAGUGGGGAAUAUUGCACAAUGGGGGAAACCCUGAUGCAGCGACGCCGCGUGAGUGAAGAAGUAUUUCGGUAUGUAAAGCUCUAUCAGCAGGGAAGAAAAUGACGGUACCUGAGUAAGAAGCCCCGGCUAACUACGUG